rnacentral:rRNA from 1 species
UACCCGCGGCCCGAGUGGUGCUCAUUAUUAUUGAGCCUAAAGCGUCCGUAGCUGGCCGGGCGAAUCCCCGGGGAAAUCGGGCGGCCCAACCGUCCGAAGUCCGGGGACACUGCUCGGCUUGAGAUCGGGAGAGGGAGGAGGUACUCUCGGGGUAGGGGUAAAAUCCUGUAAUCCGGGGGGGACCACCAGUGGCGAAGGCGUCCUCCUAGAACGAAUCUGACAGUGAGGGACGAAGCCCUAGGGCGCAAACGGG